UCAUGUGAACAUUUUCCAAAUUUAAAUCAUUUAAGCUGAAGAACCUUCAGCAGGAGAGAGAGCAGGAAAUGAUCAGCCUGAGCAAGUUCAAGGCUGCGCUUAAAACCAUUGAGUUUGAAAUGGAGGAGGCUAAUGUCAGAUUGCAGCAGAGGGAUGAAAGUCUUCAUCAGAAAAACUUAGAACUGAAGCACUUGGAGGAAACAGUAGAAGAGUUUUCCAUCAUUAUAAAGG